UACGUAGGGUGCGAGCGUUAAUCGGAAUUACUGGGCGUAAAGCGUGCGCAGGCGGUUUUGUAAGCCAGAUGUGAAAUCCCCGGGCUUAACCUGGGAAUGGCAUUUGGGACUGCAAGGCUGGAGUUUGGCAGAGGAGACUGGAAUUCCUGGUGUGGCAGUGAAACGCGUAGAUAUCAGGAGGAAUACCGAUGGCGAAGGCAGGUCUCUGGGCUAUAACUGACGCUCAUGCACGAAAGCGUGGGGAGCAAACAGG
rnacentral:rRNA from 1 species